rnacentral:rRNA from 1 species
UACGGGGGGGGGCAAGCGUUGUUCGGAAUUACUGGGCGUAAAGGGCGCGUAGGCGGCCUGCUAAGUCGGAUGUGAAAUCCCUCGGCUCAACCGAGGAACUGCAUCCGAUACUGGCGGGCUUGAAUCCGGGAGAGGGAUGUGGAAUUUCAGGUGUAGCGGUGAAAUGCGUAGAUAUCUGGAGGAACACCGGUGGCGAAGGCGGCAUCCUGGACCGGUAUUGACGCUGAGGCGCGAAAGCUAGGGGAGCAAACGGG